UUUUGAAACUAUGUUUCCUAUGUAUCUCACCCUGCCUCUCAGCUGUGUGUGAGCUGCCGUGCGCUAACGGCGGUCGCUGUGUGGCUCCCGAUACCUGCCAAUGUCCCUCAGACUACACAGGUUCCCAGUGCCUUUUGCCCUUGUGCACACCCGCCUGCCAAAAUGGUGGCCGAUGUGUUGACGUCAAUAAGUGCACGUGUGUUGGCGGUUGGCAAGGAGCUCGUUGCCAGAUAGAGCCCGUUCAGUGUCAGAAGCCCUGUAAAAACGGCGGCGUGUGCGAAGGCCUCAACAGGUGUCGCUGCGCCAAAGGAUUCACCGGAAGUCUCUGUGA